rnacentral:rRNA from 1 species
AGAGUUUGAUCCUGGCUCAGGAUGAACGCUGGCGGCGUGCUUAACACAUGCAAGUCGAGCGAUGAAGUUUCCUUCGGGAAACGGAUUAGCGGCGGACGGGUGAGUAACACGUGGGUAACCUGCCUCAUAGAGUGGAAUAGCCUUCCGAAAGGAAGAUUAAUACCGCAUAAUGUUGAAAGAUGGCAUCAUCAUUUAACCAAAGGAGCAAUCCGCUAUGAGAUGGACCCGCGGCGCAUUAGCUAGUUGGUGGGGUAACGGCCUACCAAGGCGACGAUGCGUAGCCGACCUGAGAGGGUGAUCGGCCACAUUGGGACUGAGACACGGCCCAGACUCCCUACGGGAGGCAGCAGUGGGGAAUAUUGCACAAUGGGGGAAACCCUGAUGCAGCAACGCCGCGUGAGUGAUGAAGGUUUUCGGAUCGUAAAGCUCUGUCUUUGGGGAAGAUAAUGACGGUACCCAAGGAGGAAGCCACGGCUAACUACGUGCCAGCAGCCGCGGUAAUACGUAGGUGGCGAGCGUUAUCCGGAUUUACUGGGCGUAAAGGGAGCGUAGGCGGAUGAUUAAGUGGGAUGUGAAAUACCCGGGCUCAACUUGGGUGCUGCAUUCCAAACUGGUUAUCUAGAGUGCAGGAGAGGAGAGUGGAAUUCCUAGUGUAGCGGUGAAAUGCGUAGAGAUUAGGAAGAACACCAGUGGCGAAGGCGACUCUCUGGACUGUAACUGACGCUGAGGCUCGAAAGCGUGGGGAGCAAACAGGAUUAGAUACCCUGGUAGUCCACGCCGUAAACGAUGAAUACUAGGUGUGGGGGUUUCAACACCUCCGUGCCGCCGCUAACGCAUUAAGUAUUCCGCCUGGGGAGUACGGUCGCAAGAUUAAAACUCAAAGGAAUUGACGGGGACCCGCACAAGUAGCGGAGCAUGUGGUUUAAUUCGAAGCAACGCGAAGAACCUUACCUACACUUGACAUCCCUUGCAUUACUCUUAAUCGAGGAAAUCCCUUAGGGGACAAGGUGACAGGUGGUGCAUGGUUGUCGUCAGCUCGUGUCGUGAGAUGUUGGGUUAAGUCCCGCAACGAGCGCAACCCUUGGUCGUUAGUUACUACCAUUAAGUUGAGGACUCUAGCGAGGACUGCCUGGGUUAACCAGGAGGAAGGUGGGGAUGACGUCAAAUCAUCAUGCCCCUUAUGUGUAGGGCUACACACGUGCUACAAUGGCUGGUACAGAGAGAUGCAAUACCGGUGAGGUGGAGCCAAACUUAAAAAACCAGUCUCAGUUCGGAUUGUAGGCUGAAACUCGCCUACAUGAAGCUGGAGUUACUAGUAAUCGCGAAUCAGAAUGUCGCGGUGAAUACGUUCCCGGGUCUUGUACACACCGCCCGUCACACCAUGAGAGUUGGCAAUACCCGAAGUCCGUGAGCUAACCGCAAGGAGGCAGCGGCCGAAGGUAGGGUCAGCGAUUGGGGUGAAGUCGUAACAAGGUAGCCGUAGGAGAACCUGCGGCUGGAUCACCU